rnacentral:rRNA from 1 species
AUUGAACGCUGGCGGCAUGCUUUACACAUGCAAGUCGAACGGCAGCGCGGGCUUCGGCCUGGCGGCGAGUGGCGAACGGGUGAGUAAUGCAUCGUAACGUGCCCAGUAGUGGGGGAUAGCCCGGCGAAAGCCGGAUUAAUACCGCAUACGACCUGAGGGUGAAAGCGGGGGACCGAAAGGCCUCGCGCUAUUGGAGCGGCCGAUGUCGGAUUAGCUAGUUGGUGGGGUAAAGGCUUACCAAGGCGACGAUCCGUAGCUGGUCUGAGAGGACGACCAGCCACACUGGGACUGAGACACGGCCCAGACUCCUACGGGAGGCAGCAGUGGGGAAUUUUGGACAAUGGGGGCAACCCUGAUCCAGCCAUGCCGCGUGCGGGAAGAAGGCCUUCGGGUUGUAAACCGCUUUUGUUCGGGAAGAAAUCCUCUGGGCUAAUACCCCGGGGGGAUGACGGUACCGGAAGAAUAAGCACCGGCUAACUACGUG